UUCCGGUUGAUCCUGCCGGAGGCUACCGCUAUUGGAGUUCGAUUAAGCCAUGCGAGUCGCGAGUCUUAGGGACUCGGCGUACCGCUCAGUAACACGUGGGUAACCUGCCCUAUGCUGGGGGAUAACCUCGGGAAACGGAGAAUAAUACCCCAUAGUUCACCACGCCUGGAACGGUGGGUGGAUCAAAGCUCCGGCGGCAUAGGAUGGGCCUGCGGCGUAUCAGGUUGUAGGGGGUGUAAUGUACCCUCUAGCCCUCUACGCGUACGGGUGUUGAGAGACACCGCCCGGAGAUGGAUUCUGAGACACGAAUCCAGACCCCACGGGGUGCAGCAGGCGCGAAAACUAGGCAAUGCGAGAAAUCGUGACCAGGGAACUCCAAGUGCAUCGGGUAAGACCGAUGCUUUUCUUGACUCUUCAAAGGUCUUGGAAUAAGGGGGUGGGUAAGGACGGUGCCAGCCGCCGCGGUAAUACCGGGGCCCCAAGUGGUAGU
rnacentral:rRNA from 1 species